GUAGCAGUCUGUCUCAGUCAGCACACAGCAUGGACGUGAGGAUCCCUGCUCAGCUCCUGGGGCUCCUGCUGCUCUGGCUCCCAGAUGCGAGGUGUGACAUCCAGAUGACCCAGUCCCCAUCCACCUUGUCUGCAUCUGUAGGAGGCACAGCCACCAUCACUUGCAGAGCCAGUGGAAACAUUUAUAGCUAUUUAGCCUGGUACCAGCAGAAACUAGGGAAAGCCCCUAAACUCCUGAUCUAUGGUAGUAAUAAUUUGGCAUCUGGAGUUCCAUCCAGGUUCAGUGGCAGUGGAUCUGGGACAGAUUAUUCUCUCACCAUCAGCAGCCUGCAGCCUAAAGAUGUUGCCACUUAUUACUGUCAACAUGAUCAUGACUAG